rnacentral:rRNA from 1 species
AGAGUUUGAUCAUGGCUCAGAAUCAACGCUGGCGGCGUGCCUAACACAUGCAAGUCGAACGAGAAAGUGGAGCAAUCCAUGAGUAAAGUGGCGCACGGGUGAGUAACACGUGACUAACCUACCCUUGAGUGGGGAAUAACCUAGGGAAACCUGGGCUAAUACCGCAUAACACCUACGGGUCAAAGGAGCAAUUCGCUUAAGGAGGGGGUCGCGGCAGAUUAGCUAGUUGGCGGGGUAAUGGCCCACCAAGGCAGUGAUCUGUAUCCGGCCUGAGAGGGCGCACGGACACACUGGAACUGAAACACGGUCCAGACUCCUACGGGAGGCAGCAGUGGGGAAUUUUGCGCAAUGGGGGAAACCCUGACGCAGCAACGCCGCGUGGAGGAUGAAGUCCCUUGGGACGUAAACUCCUUUCGACCGGGAAGAUUAUGACGGUACCGGAAGAAGAAGCCCCGGCUAACUUCGUGCCAGCAGCCGCGGUAAUACGAGGGGGGCAAGCGUUGUUCGGAAUUAUUGGGCGUAAAGGGUGCGUAGGCGGUUCGGCAAGUCUUGUGUGAAAUCUUCGGGCUCAACUCGAAGUCUGCACGAGAAACUGCCGGGCUUGAGUGUGGGAGAGGUGAGUGGAAUUUCCGGUGUAGCGGUGAAAUGCGUAGAUAUCGGAAGGAACACCUGUGGCGAAAGCGGCUCACUGGACCACAACUGACGCUGAGGCACGAAAGCUAGGGGAGCAAACAGGAUUAGAUACCCUGGGUAGUCCUAGCCCUAAACGAUGAUCGCUUGGUGUGACGGGUACCCAAUCCCGCCGUGCCGAAGCUAACGCGUUAAGCGAUCCGCCUGGGGAGUACGGUCGCAAGGCUGAAACUCAAAGGAAUUGACGGGGGGCCCGCACAAGCGGUGGAGCAUGUGGUUUAUUUCGACGCAACGCGAAGAACUUACCUGGGCUCGAAAUGGUAACAGGAAUCCCGU